GUGCCAGCAGCCGCGGUAAUACGGAGGGUGCAAGCGUUAUCCGGAUUCACUGGGUUUAAAGGGUGUGUAGGCGGGCAAUUAAGUCAGUGGUGAAAUCUCCAGGCUCAACCUGGAAACUGCCAUUGAUACUAUUUGUCUUGAAUCCUGUUGAGGUGGGCGGAAUAUAUCAUGUAGCGGUGAAAUGCUUAGAUAUGAUAUAGAACACCGAUUGCGAAGGCAGCUCACUAAACAGGCAUUGACGCUGAGGCACGAAAGCGUGGGGAUCAAACAGGAUUAGAUACCCUGGUAGUCC
rnacentral:rRNA from 1 species